GUUUUUUUCUUAUUUUAAUAGUAUUGACAACAUAUUUCUCAAGUUAUCACACAUAAAGUGAAGAAAAGAAACUAUAUUACUUAUCUAUUUUUCAUAUCGAUUUUCACCUUGACUUAAACCACAUUGUUUCUUUAACCUUCUGUGUUGUUGCCUACAACACUUCAGUUAGAGGACUGGGAAAUAGCAAACAGGGGAAAAAGGCAUGACUUAUUUUGCAUACAGCUAGCCAAACCUGUUGAAACUGUUGUCAUAGCCAAUGCUUUUUAUUGGAACAGAAAACAGCAAGGGUCCAUAGAAAAAUACAGUUGGAAGUUUUUUUUUUCCACCAAGGCAGCUCAAGAAGGUUGGACACACAAGUACAGUGGCUCUUUUGGCCCAAGGCCAAGCCAACAUCAAAGUUAGUUCACUAACUUUACAUUCUAGUUAUUAUUAUUAUUCUUCUGAUCCUAAAAUUCCAAACGCUACUCCUCCUAGGGCUUUAAAGCCACAAGCCCCAAACUCGGCAGAGACCUGGGCCCCGGGGUGUAGUUUUAUGCUAUAUCUUUUUAGACUGAUCAGACUUACAGUUUAUUUAUUAUUAAUUUUUAUAAAUCAGAAAUCUCCCAUAGACUCCC
ensembl:lncRNA